AAGAGUAUCACUUAAUGGUAAAGUCCAUGUCUUCAACACAUGUUAUAGUAGUUCGAUUCUACUUGCUCUUG
rnacentral:tRNA from 29 species